UGCCCUGCCCUGCCGGGGUCGGCCCUCCGGACACCCCUCUGAGGGGCCGGUGCCUCCGUGCUGCCCGGCUCCGCCUUGCAAUGGUUUAUUUCUCGUCAAGCGCUCUGCCUACGUGUGUGUCAUGUUCCGUUCCAUGUCGUCACCCUUUCUUUCCGGACAUAAAACCUUUCAAGGACCUAUGGCGAUUAUAUUGUAUGAGGGAAUGGAGAGCCAUGUCCUCCACACUGAAUGCGCCAAUUUAAAAGCAAAACAAUAAAUAUGUCAAUGUGCA